rnacentral:rRNA from 1 species
GAUGAACGCUAGCGGGAGGCUUAACACAUGCAAGUCGAGGGGCAGCAUAGGGUAGCAAUACUCUGAUGGCGACCGGCAAACGGGUGAGUAACGCGUAUGCAACCUACCCUGUACAGGGGGAUAACCCGGAGAAAUUCGGACUAAUAUCCCGUAAUAAUAUCCGGAGGCAUCUUUGGAUAUUUAAAGUUUCGACGGUACGGGAUGGGCAUGCGUAACAUUAGCUGGUUGGUAAGGUAACGGCUUACCAAGGCUAUGAUGUUUAGGGGUCCUGAGAGGGUGGUCCCCCACACUGGUACUGAGACACGGACCAGACUCCUACGGGAGGCAGCAGUGAGGAAUAUUGGUCAAUGGGCGCAAGCCUGAACCAGCCAUCCCGCGUGCAGGAAGACGGCCCUAUGGGUUGUAAACUGCUUUUCCAGGGAGAGAAACUUACGCACGUGUUGCGUGACUGACGGUACCCUGGGAAUAAGCAUCGGCUAACUCCGUGCCAGCAGCCGCGGUAAUAGUGUGUG